UACGAAGGGGGCUAGCGUUGUUCGGAAUUACUGGGCGUAAAGGGCGGGUAGGCGGCCACCGCAAGUCAGUUGUGAAAUCUCCGGGCUUAACCCGGAAAGGUCAACUGAUACUGCGGGGCUAGAGUGCAGAAGGGGCAACUGGAAUUCUCGGUGUAGCGGUGAAAUGCGUAGAUAUCGAGAGGAACACCUGCGGCGAAGGCGGGUUGCUGGGCUGACACUGACGCUGAACUGCGAAAGCUAGGGGAGCGAACGGG
rnacentral:rRNA from 1 species